UACGUAGGGUGCGAGCGUUGUCCGGAAUUAUUGGGCGUAAAGGGCUCGUAGGCGGUUUGUCGCGUCGGGAGUGAAAACACUGGGCUUAACUCAGUGCUGGCUUUCGAUGCGGGCAGACUAGAGGUAUACAGGGGAGAACGGAAUUCCUGGUGUAGCGGUGAAAUGCGCAGAUAUCAGGAGGAGCACCGGUGGCGAAGGCGGUUCUCUGGGCAUUACCUGACGCUGAGGAGCGAAAGCGUGGGGAGCAAACAGG
rnacentral:misc_RNA from 1 species